CCAAUAGCGUAUAUUAAAGUUGUUGCAGUUAAAAAGCUCGUAGUUGAAUUUCGGGGUCAGUAGAUUGGUCAUGCCACUGGUAUGUACUGGUCUCACUGAUUCCUCCUUCCUGAUGAGCCGUAAUGCCAUUAAUUUGGUGUUGCGAGGAAUCUGGACUGUUACUUUGAAAAAAUUAGAGUGUUUAAAGCAGGCUAACGCUUGAAUACAUUAGCAUGGAAUAAUGAAAUAGGACGUUCGAUCUUAUUUUGUUGGUUUCUAAGAUUGACGUAAUGAUUAAUAGGGAUAGUUGGGGGCAUUAGUAUUCAAUUGUCAGAGGUGAAAUUCUUGGAUUUAUUGAAGACUAACUACUGCGAAAGCAUUUGCCAAGGAUGUUUUCAUUAAUCAAGAACGAAAGUUAGGGGAUCGAAGACGAUCAGAUACCGUCGUAGUCUUAAUCAUAAACUAUGCCGACUAGGGAUCGGAUGAUGUUAAUUUUUUAAUGACUCAUUCGGCGCCUUACG
rnacentral:rRNA from 1 species